ACAGGGUAUUAAAUGGUUCGUUCGUGGGGUCUCUGAUCAGCAGCCAGCUUAUUCUUUCAUGAUUAACUUUGGAUUUUUUGGGUACAUUUUUUAGUUUUAUUUUUUCUACGUAUUUAGUCACAUAUAUAGUAUUUAUAUAUGGUAGGUACGGUAUCAUUGUUAUCUAGUCGUUUUAAUUAGUUUGCUUGUUUUAUAUUUUUAAUAUAUAUAUACAUGUAUGUAUAUGAUGUAUUUAACUUUCACAAUUAAGUUAUUUUGUAUGGUUCAAUUUUAUAUAAGAGAUAAUGACCUUAUCAUUAUUUUAAAUAAAAUAUAAAUCUAAGAGAGAAAUAACAAUUGUAAUUUAUCAUUAAUGUAAUUUGCUUAAUGGAUUUGAAUUAAAAGCCC
rnacentral:lncRNA from 1 species